rnacentral:lncRNA from 1 species
GUGCCUGAUGCCGUGAAACUACCCAAUGAUUUGCUGGUAACUUCACAUAUCCACCUUUGAGAUAGCAGUCCAUUUUCUGCUCUCUGCUUUUCCAUAGGACAAGCUUGAAUAUCCGACCUUGGCUGAUAAGGAGGCAUCCUAGGCAACAGAUGGGUUUUUGGAAUGGUCACUUCCACAGCAAUACUAAACUGAUACACAAAGGAUCCCCGUACUUCAUCAAAAUAUCAAUGUUGUCCAUGACACACAAAGAACCCAGCUGUAGUUUAAUUCAGCAUCACAGUCCCAACAUGUUUUAAAACAUGUUCCAGCUUUUGGUCCCAGGAUUAUUCAACCUAGCUCAUAAAAGAAAACAAUAUUGCAUUUCUAAGUAUUGGCUCCUAGAAUUGGCAAGUUUAGUCAAGAAAAGCUGGAAUGCCGUUAAAACAACACCCUGUCAUCUUUCAAUCAGUCCUUAGCUGAAGUUAAAAUCCCACUCAUUCUGCAUGAUCCAGCCUCUGUAGCAUAGAGUGAGUAGCCCCUUAACAAGAACCAAAAUGGAGGGUACGGAUGAGGCUCAGAUCGUCACCACCUGGAGAAUAGAGACAGUGACUGAGUCACCAGGAAAUCUGUCCCCUGCUCAUCCCAGAAUCCCCGAGCUUUGACUUUUUAAGAGAACAUGUGACAGAUAAUGCCAUCUGAGAAGGAUUGCCUCCUUUACUGUAUGUUUUCCACUGAGAUGAAGAUUUUGGUCAUUUCCUCAUUCAUGUUCCUGCUUUUCAAAACCCAAGCAAGAAAGGAAACUUCUACAGUGACUUUCUCAUUAUGAAAUCUUAGCAUUCACUAGUCGGCCAUAAUGGAAAACCAGCCAAAUGGACACAUAUACACUGGUCUGUACCCGCAGAGAAAGAAAUGCAAAUCUCUGUGAUCAGAAAACUAUCCUAUCUUGUACAUUGUUAAAAGUCUGCCUCCAAAAAGUUUACUUCUGGAAUACUGUAAUUGAAUAGAAUCAGGGAUCCUACCUGUGUCCUUCAACUUUCACAUCUUGUCUACUCAAGUAAGGGUUGAAUUUGCAUGACUAUAUCUAAGGUUCGAGGGCUUACCUGUUGGCAGUAGACCCAGUAGUCUAUGAAUGGAAAUGGGCAAACCUGUGACCUCCCAAAACUUUAAUAUGAAAGUUUUGUUUGUGUAUACUCAUGGCAUUAUUCUUUUAAUAAAGAGAUAAUCUAUAUAGUUUUCUUUUUUAAAAGAUACUUUUAUUUCUUUAUUGUUGGGAACUGACACAGCUAAUUUCUUUCUGAAGAGGUUCUUUGGUUGAGAAUGG